GUGGUGACAACGUCUCCCUGAGUCCUAACCCAGAGGUGGACACUUGCCAGCCCACCCACCGGGAGAGCCCAGUGUCUCGUCACCCAGGAGGCCCACGCACCUGUUCUGGCACCAAGAAAGGCAGAGGUGUGGGGUUGUAUGAAGACCGGCCUCCGACUCCAACAGGACUGGGCCCACAGACCAACCUCACUCCUCCUAGUCUGUGGGACGCUGGGCAGGAGGCUGAGCCUCUCUGAGCCUCAGCUUCACGCCUAUGAGAUGACCUCAGCACCCUGAUCUCCUGGGAGAAGGUGAGCAUGAGAAGUAGACAGGCCCAGCGCCACCGCGGGAGACACAGGAGUGUGUGACACAGGGUGGUGCCCAUCUGGGUUGCUUGACUUAUCCGACAGAGAUGGGUGCAGACCCCGAGCCCCCGGGACAGUCAGGGCCCACGGGAGGGCAGAACGGCUUCUCCGAGGGACACUGGAGCUGAGACCUGAAGGGGUUGCAGUUCUCACAAGUGACCAUGAGAGGGCGACUCCAGGAGAUGCAGAGAAACUCACAAGCCUAGAAGAAACUUGGGGAAUCAGAUGUAUCUUCCUCCCUCCUGGCCUCUCUCAGCACCUCACCCCCAAAGAUCAGACCUCUGGGCAGGAUCUCACCAUUGGAAGUGCUAACUCAGAGGAGCCUUGGACACAGAUGGGAACUCCGGGGCAAGAGAGGGUGAAGAAGAGUGAGGCCAGAUGCUCUGCCCACCUCAGUGCCAUCACACCAGUUAGCAGGACUCUUCCAAAGGUAUGAGUACGAGGCAUAAGAAUGUCAAGCAACCCUCCCACUUGGUCUUCGAGGCCCAGUGAACUGACUCCAGUGGUGGAAUAUUAGGCACCAUGAAAAAAGAAGGGAGGGUACUUAUUGGUAAGACUUGGUUGUAAAAAUCCCAUUCUACACUUACCAUAAAGCCAAGUCCUACCUAAAAGGGAGCCUUCAAAGCUCUUCCCCGAGCCCUGGGUGAGGGCCACCACAGCCUCAGUGCUUGGCAACAGAAGCAGCACCCCUGGAGGCUGAGCUUAUAGCCCUAGGAACAGCUCCUGUGGGUUUCAGAUCUGCCACUGACUACACACAAGGCCUCACAAAAGCUCUUCGGCCUCCCUGUGCCUCAGGGUCCUCAUGUGUACAUGGAGGUAACAGAACAGUCCAUGUCUCAGAGGCUCUUGUGAGAAUUAAGGGACUUGGUAUUGGCAAGGUACCCAGAGCCUGGCGCAUGGUGAGCAACCGGUGUCAGGUGUGGUCAUUAUCUUGCUGGUUUUCAGGCAGUGCCAGAGGCAGUGUGGUUACUCUAGUUUGGAAGGCUUUGUGGUAGGGACUACAGUAUUGAUACGAGAACGAGCUUAUGGAAUGGAUCUGACUUCGAGACCUCGCUCUGCCACUAGCAGCUGAGCAACCUCUCGACCACAGGCUCUUCAUCUGAAAACCGUGAAUAUCAAUACGUUGCCAUAGGUCUUAAGAACCAAAAUAAAAUGUACUGAAGUGCUUUUCAAAAUACUUAUGUUUUAAGCUAACAUGGAAUAAAAUAGACCUCGGGGGUCCAUAUAGUUUUAUGAAUUGUCAUACAUUCAUGUACCCACCACCAAGAUAAGGACCGUCUCCCCACUCCCCAUGAAAUUGUGUUGUUUUUAUUUUUUUUAUUUUUAAAAUGCUCUGCAAAGGUCAAAGUCCUAGUGUUCUUCAGGCGGACACCUGGAGGGCCUACCAUGGCGCACUAGAUAGGGAAGAUUCAAAGCCUGGCACAUUUCUCACAAAACAAGCAGAGAAGGUGAAUGCUAGCGUGGAGCUUCCUGUCAUACGCUGCCUGCACACUGGCUGUUCCUCAGCAGGAACUCGGCCUCUCCAGACACUUGCCUGCUCACACUUCACCUCCUUCAGGUCUUUGCCUGAAUGCUACCCUCUCCCGAGGCCUCCCCUCUGGGAGCCACCAUCUGGUACUUUGGAUCCCCACCCCUCUGCUCCACAUGCCCAUUAUUUUCCAUAGCCUCCACCCUCAUCAAUAAACCAUAGAAAUU